rfam:Anncaliia algerae PRA109 cont4.4675, whole genome shotgun sequence.
GACCGGAUGGCGCAAUGGUAGCGCGUGUGAUUCCAGAUCUCAAGGUUGCAGGUUCAAUCCCUGCUUCGGUCA